UGUAGAAAACAGAGCCUCCAGUGCAGUCCAAAGUACCUUCUGCUGUGGAAAUACUACCUGGGGGGACAGUCAGGCUGUGUCACAAGGUCACCAGCAAGACCUCCCCACACAUUCUUAGCAGCUCAAGCUCUUAGCUUCUCAGUGUCUGUAAUGCAUUUAUCCGUUGUAUGUAGUGUCAAAUAUUUCCAUCCUCACACACGAAAUGACCAUUAACUGUCUCUUAGCAAAUACCCUCGGCUUUCCUUGAAAUAAUUAAACAAAUCACUUGUGUUGGUAUUAUCAAAAACAAAACAAUAUUGAGUUAUGAUAUCCUAAAACAGGCUGCUGAAGUA